rnacentral:rRNA from 1 species
AUUGAACGCUGGCGGCAGGCCUAACACAUGCAAGUCGAGCGGAUGAAGGGAGCUUGCUCCUGGAUUCAGCGGCGGACGGGUGAGUAAUGCCUAGGAAUCUGCCUGGUAGUGGGGGAUAACGUCCGGAAACGGGCGCUAAUACCGCAUACGUCCUGAGGGAGAAAGUGGGGGAUCUUCGGACCUCACGCUAUCAGAUGAGCCUAGGUCGGAUUAGCUAGUUGGUGGGGUAAAGGCCUACCAAGGCGACGAUCCGUAACUGGUCUGAGAGGAUGAUCAGUCACACUGGAACUGAGACACGGUCCAGACUCCUACGGGAGGCAGCAGUGGGGAAUAUUGGACGAUGGGCGAAAGCCUGAUCCAGCCAUGCCGCGUGUGUGAAGAAGGUCUUCUGAUUGUAAAGCACUUUAAGUUGGGAGGAAGUGCAGUAAGUUAAUACCUUGCUGUUUUGACGUUACCAACAGAAUAAGCACCGGCUAACUUCGUG